AAUCCAGGUUGCUUGGGGAGGGCGGUGGGUAGCUCCCUUUUUCCUGCCCAGAGGUUCUUCCUUUUUAAAUCCUAAGAAAAGAAGCACUUACACACUAGCAAUCUAAGUCCAAACACGCAUGUGAGAUUUGUUCAAACUUUGGUCAUUUGGUGGUCCUGAGACCAGUCUGGCCCAGGGGUUCCCAGUCUUCCUCUGGGAUCCAACCAGAUGUCCCCCCGGGGUCAGGCAGGAAGACAGUGGGCGCUUACUUGUCUUUGAGGAAGAACAAAACCUAAAGCUAACACUUUUUGAUUGUUCAUGUUGUGCCAACCAAUAUCUAAGAACUUGGAAUUAUGCCGCAGCAAUCCGAGUGCUGUAGCAGCCAUCUUGUCACCAGGAGGAAAAGUGCAAGAAAACAGCAGAGACUUAAUUCUGAUGUCACUGGGACAUGGACCUACCAUCAUACCAGGGAUUGAACUCGGGACCUUGCACUCACCAGGCAGGUGCGGCACCACUGAGGGCCUGCUUCAGCCUCUAGAAGCUAAAAGGACUAUAUCCUCCUUCUUCCUGGCCUGGCAGUUGAAGUUCCACCAAGCGGACACCCCAUCCGGACCUCUGACUCUCAAGGGAGUCCUGCCCAGGGUGGACUUGAACUCCUGCUUCAGUCUCCUGAGUGCUGGGAUUACAGGUGUGCAUUACCGUACCUCGAAACAGCUGCCUUUUAAGGCCUUAAGCCACCCAGGCUUUGGAACAGAGGAGCAGAUCAAAGCCAGGUGCAGCUGCGCUGGGACACUCUCCUUUUUGGCUGGGGUGACACUUUGCCCUUGGAAGCACUGGUGUUCAUGUUCACCAUUCAAGGAUACGCAAAGUGACAGCAUGAAGACAGGCACAGCUUUGUGUUUGCUGUUCCCUCUACCUGGUAAACCCUUCUCCCAAGUUGGCCCAUAGCUGCUCUAUCUCAGGAAUCAGACUCUACCUCAAUGUCCCUCUGCUACCUACCAGUACACUCCACGGCUGCCUGAGAUUGUGCAGUUUGGGCAUCACAGAAGCACCAUCCAGGGGAGGUGGGUGAGGCCAAAGUCCCCUCCAUCUCUGCCCCUCAAGGUUUUACCAGAGAGGGGCCAGCAGACACCUUGGUCACUGUGUCUAAGUCACCACUCUCCACCUUCCAACACUCUCUCCCAUUGUUCACUUUUGCCUCCACAGCAUGAAUCAGCACUCUCUGAAACUGUGCCUUUCACACAUUGGAAAUAUAUUGUUAACCUACUUGUUACCUGUGUCCUCCUACCGUAAUGUAAAUCUCCCAGGAGUGAAGUCUGCCUUGUUCCUGUUUGUUC
rnacentral:lncRNA from 1 species